rnacentral:lncRNA from 1 species
CGGUGGAGGACAGCUGAGUGAGAAGUGUGGACUCUCAGGACUCCAUUUGGGGAGGGACUGGAAAAAAUGACCGAAGGUAAUGUUCAGAAGGAGAGAGACAGAGAAUUUACUAUUAAUUGAAUUUCUUAUUAGUUUUUUUUGUUUUAGAAAAUACAUUUUUUUUAAAUAAUUAGACUAGUGUGUUUUUUUAAUUCUUUUAAAUAUGUAUAAAAAAAUACGUUUUAGUGUGAUGGGAAGAGGGGAUUGCACUGAGAGUAACUUAACUUGUCAGGUUUUUUGGACUGUUGAAAAUACUAGUUCAUAUUAAUCAUUUUAAAAAAUCUAAUUGAACCAUUUUGGUAAAGUGCUCUCAUUUAAUCACAUUUUUUUUUGUACAUUUAAUCCCUGGUGUGAAUUCAGCAACUACACUGAACCCUCUUAUGGUGUUAUUUACUGGUUUGGCCAAUUUGACUUUCCUUCAAAAGGGUUGAAUUUCUCUAUUUCUAUUAUCCUGAACCACCACCAAAGACAUUUAGUGUACUCACAACUCAAAUUUAAUAAUGAAAAACACAAAUAAUUCCAAAUAAUAUUUAUUUAUGCCAUUAUCCAUAGCUUUUUCACAGUUGAAAUGGAUAACCAAGUUUUACCCAUAAUUUUCUACUUUUAAAGAGGAUUUGUUUGACUUGAAAACACAUUUGAUUGGGUUGAAAAAUUGGUAACCAUAAACAAAACUGGUAUCCUUUGAAAAUUUUCACGUCGAGUCUAAAAGAGUUUGAAAUAGCAAUAUCCAUAAAAAGAAGUUGGUCACAUACAAACUAGCAAAUGCGAUGAUACAAUUUCAGAGUUCAAUCUUAAGACGUACUGAAGAAAAAUAUAACACUGUAUUAUAUUAGAUCAUCCGAAAGCGAAACCCCAACUUCACAUGACCAAACUGAAAAUUUUUAUCUAUACAAUUUUGGGAGCCACCAAGAUAAUUAAUCAUCAUCAGAUAUAGAGUUCCAAAAUUUUGAUGACGAUUCGUUUUCUAGUUUUGCAACAGGAUUUGUAGCAUUGUUGAAGUCCCUGAAGCACACAACAGCACAUUCUUCAAAAGAGGUAGCAGUAGUAAUUCUACACCCAUCUACGGCCAUGGCAUCACAGCCAGAUUCAGCACCAUCAUUUGAAGAGCAAAGCAAGGAAUUUGUUUGU